GACGAACGCUGGCGGCGUGCUUAACACAUGCAAGUCGAACGGUAAGGCCCUUCGGGGUACACGAGUGGCGAACGGGUGAGUAACACGUGGGUGAUCUGCCCUGCACUUCGGGAUAAGCCUGGGAAACUGGGUCUAAUACCGGAUAGGACCACUGCCUGCAUGGGUGGUGGUGGGAAGCUUUUGCGGUGUGGGAUGGGCCCGCGGCCUAUCAGCUUGUUGGUGGGGUGAUGGCCUACCAAGGGGACGACGGGUAGCCGGCCUGAGAGGGUGACCGGCCACACUGGGACUGAGAUGCGGCCCAGACUCCUACGGGAGGAAGCAGUGGGGAAUAUUGCACAAUGGGCGCAAGCCGGAUGCAGCGACGCCGCGUGAGGGAUGACGGCCUUCGGGUUGUAAACCUCUUUCAGCACCGACGAAGCGCAAGUGACGGUAGGUGCAGAAGAAGGACCGGCCAACUACGUGCCAGCAGCCGCCGUAA
rnacentral:rRNA from 1 species